UUUUUUUUUGAAUACAUGAAUAUAUUUCCAAUGUAAAAUAUUUAAAAAAUAGAGAUAAGUAAAAGUACCUUGUCACUCCCUCUCUUCCCCAUCAUUUCCCUACACAGAAGUGACUAGUGUUAACCAUUUCCAGUGUGUUUAUAUAUACGUAAAAUAUGUGGUGUGUGUUGAUUGAGUUUGCUUUUCUCUGGUUUCUUCUAUUAUUCAGAGGCCAGAGACUCAGAAGAGAACCAGUAAUGGGCAAGGCCUGGGACACCAUGGCUCUCCACACCCUGUGUUAGUCAAGGUCAGCUUUGCUGGCAAGGUUAUAGUUUGUCCUGGGAACCCUACUGCAGGGAGGAGACAGUGAGGGAAAGUAGCCAGGCGGAGCCAUAAAAAAGAAUGCCUCUGUGACUCCUUCAGCCAAUUCCUUAUAAUAAAUUACUGUCAGUAGAGCCCUGUUGCUGCCAAUAAGUUUAGUAUUGUUUCCUAGAUGUCUUUCAUAGAGCAGUCAUUUGAGUGAAAAAAGAUCCCAAAUCUGUUUUGUUUUGUUUUCUAUAGGCCUAGGGUUUGUGGCUAAAUUUCUUGGUGAGGCCUGCUCUUCAAAAGACUAUUUAUUGAACAAGAAAAAACAACUGCAGAUGGCUGAGGCCUUCAGAAUCAGACUGGAAAUACAUCAGCUCUCCUGGUGCUCCAACUGCUGACUUCAGAUCCUGGGACUUCUCUGCCUCCACAACCAUGUGAGCCAAUUUCUUAUAACAAAUUAAGAAACAUAUCUAGAUAUCUAGAUAGCUAUAUCUCCAUCCUAGGCUCAGACUAGUACAUCCAUAUUGACAAAACUUAGUGGGUUUUUUUUGUUUAUUUUUUAUUUUAGUGUAAAGCGUGCAUGCAAGUCGGGGAGAGGGGCAGAGGAGAGAGAGAAUCCCAAGCAGACUCCACACCCAGCACCGAGUUGCUCAACCAAGCCACCUAGGUGCCCCAAGAAAACCUAGUUUUUAAUCGCGACAUAAUAUUCCAACUGCAUGAGUAAAUCAAUUUAUUCCAUCCCUCUAGUGAAAGAUCACGGAGACAUCUCCACUUUUUCCCUCCUAGAAAAGUGUAGUUUCCUUGGGCCCAUAUGCUACUUUCUCCCAAGAAUAAUUAUUACUAAUAUUUAGCUUUACUAGUUAUUGUUAAGCUGUUUUUCCAAAGUGGUGUUAAGUGGUUUCAGUUCGGUUUAAUUCACAUACUGACUUCUGGUAAGGUAGAGCACCUUUUUGUUGAUUUCUUAUCCAUUAGCAUAUGUUUCCUCUAGAAACUGCCUAUUCAUAUCCUUUGCUCCUUCCCCUGCCUUUGUCUUACUAUUGGGUUGUCUUUGUUUCUUUGUAUCUUUAUUCUGGAUAACAAGAUUUUGUUAAUCAAAGGUGUUGCAGGUUUGACAGAGAUGGUCUUCUAGAGCUUUUUUAUCUGGGAGGUGGUGGCGGUGGUGGCAUAAGCAUCCCACGUAGUCUGCAUCAUCAUGCACAUGUCUCUCUAGAGCAGUGCCAUGGAUAACUGACCUGAGACCACUUUCAUGCAAGUUCUUACUUGGGGAUGGGGUGGGGGUGGGGGUGAUGACGGUUCCUAGACCACACAGGAAGUAGCUAUUUGAAGUUCUCAAAUUCAUGGGGGAGGGGAAGAAAAAAAAAAAAAAAAGAGGUUAGAGAGGGAGAGAGCCAAAGCAUAAGAGACUCUU